AGCAGCCGCGGUAAUUCCAGCUCCAAUAGCGUAUAUUAAAGUUGCUGCAGUUAAAAAGCUCGUAGUUGAAUUUCGGGACUAAUAUGUCGGUCGUGCCUCGGUACGUACUGGCUUAUUGGUUUCUCCUUUCUGAAGAACCAUGAUGUCAUUUAUUUGGUGUCGUGGGGAAUCAGGACUGUUACUUUGAAAAAAUUAGAGUGUUUAAAGCAGGCUCACGCUUGAAUACAUUAGCAUGGAAUAAUGAAAUAGGACGUUUGAUUCUAUUUUGUUGGUUUCUAGGAUCGACGUAAUGAUUAAUAGGGAUAGUUGGGGGCAUUAGUAUUCAAUUGUCAGAGGUGAAAUUCUUGGAUUUAUUGAAGACUAACUACUGCGAAAGCAUUUGCCAAGGAUGUUUUCAUUAAUCAAGAACGAAAGUUAGGGGAUCGAAGACGAUCAGAUACCGUCGUAGUCUUAACCAUAAACUAUGCCGACUAGGGAUCGGAUGAUGUUAAUUUUUUUAAUGACUCAUUCGGCGCCUUAC
rnacentral:misc_RNA from 1 species